CAACAAUUAACAGCAAUAUUGAGCGUGAGGUAUGAAGAUAACUUACCUGCGGCUAGAAGAUUUUAGCCGGAUUAGUGUUGCAGGUAUAACACUGAUUAAUGGAAAUAUUGAGAGUAAGAGUGAAAUUAGCUUACCUACGGCGAGGAGGUUUUCGCCGGAUUAUUGUUGAGGAUCCUUUGAUGAAGAUGACACCACCUCUUUGGAUAUUAGGGAGACUUGAAGAUGGCCUUCAAGUUGGAACUCUCCACCAAGGUAUGAAGAAUUUCUUCUUCACUCCCCUUCAAGAAACUUUGUAACUAGAAACUCUUAUUUUUCCAAGUAGUUUUCUUUGGUUUGAAGAAUUUCUCCUUCUUACCAAGAAACAUGAAAACUAUAAGAGAAGAGGGAGAAAUG